UAGGGACAGGUACACGGAUAGGAAAGGUUUAGGGGGAUAUGGACAGGUACAAGGAUAGGAAAGGUUUAGAGGGAUGCGGACAUGUGCACGGAUAGCAAAGGUUUAGAGGGAUACAGACAGGUACAAGGAUAGGAAAGGUUUAGAGUUAUACGGACAGGUACACGGAUAGCAAAGGUUCAGAGGGAUAUGGACAGGUACACGGAUAGGAAAGGUUUAGAGGGAUACGGAGAGCUACACGGAUAGCAAAGUUUUAGGGGAUAGGGACAGGUACACGGAUAGGAAAGGUUUAGAGGGAUACGGAGAGCUACACGGAUAGCAAAGUUUUAGGGGAUAGGGACAGGUACACGGAUAGGAAAGGUUUAGAGUGACACGGACGGGAAAGGUUUAGGGGGAUAGGGACAGGUACAUGGAUAGGAAAGGUUAAGAGAGAUACGGACAUGUGCACGGAUAGGAAAGGUUUAGAGGGAUACAGACAGGUACAGGGAUAGGAAAGGUUUAGAGGGAUACGGACAGGUACACGGAUAGGAAAGGUUUACAGGGAUACGGAGAGGUACACGGAUAGGAAAGCUUUACAGGGAUAUGGACAGGUACGCGGAUAGGAAAGGUUCAGAGGGAUACGGACAGGUACACGGAUUGGAAAGGUUUACAGGGAUACGGACGGGUACACGGAUAGGAAAGGUUUAGGGGGAUAGGGACAGGUACAUGGAUAGGAAAGCUUUAGAGGGAU